ACAGAAACAAAGGUCAAAACAUGGAUUCGGCAGGAAGUCACUUUCCUGCACGGAUACACUGAAUGAGAACGGCUCCUACAAUUGCAUUGGAUACUCUCUUGUUAUUCCUUGAUACUGUUCUGGUUAUUGGACGCCGGAUUCCAGCCCUACUCGAUCACAACAACAGUGACCAUAAUUCGUAAAGGAAAGAAAAUUGCUUUGGCCCUUUUUGACAUAUAUGCUGUUUACAGAAAUCUUGCUGAACACAGGCCUCUUUCAGACAGAUGUUCAGAUUUCAGACAAAGAACGUCACCGUGAAGGCGGAAUGCUGAUUCUGCCCACAGAUGAUCCCGGAUCCGGGCAGAAGUCGGUUCUGCCGAAAUCCUCAAAAAAUCUGGUUUUGGUAGGGCAAAUCUGAUGGCAGAAUAUAGUAUUAAUGGUAAGACUCUUGGCAGUGUGGAGGAUCAGAGGGAUCUUGGGGUCCGAGUCCAUAGGACGCUCAAAGCAGCUACGCCGCUUGACACUGUUGUUAAGAAGGCACACGGUGUAUUGACCUUCAUUAGUCGUGGAAUUGAAUUUAGGACCCGAGUGGUAAUGUUGCAGCUAUAUAGAACCCUGGGCAAACCAAACUUGGAGUACUGUGCUCAGUUCUGGUCGCCUCACUAGAGGAAGGAUGUGGAAGCCACAGAAAGGGUGCAGAGGAGGUGUACAAGGAUGUUGGCUGGAAUAGGGAGGAUGCCUUAUGAGAAUAGUUUGAGUGAACUCUGCCUUUUCUCCUUAGAGCGACGGAGGAUGAGAGGUGACCUGAUAAGAUGAUGAGAGGCACUGACCGUGUGGAUAGUCAGAGGCUCUUUCUCAAGGCUGAAAUGGUUGAAACAAGUGAACACAAGUUUAAGGUGUUGGGGAAUAGGUACAGAGGAGAUAUUACAGAGAGUGGUGAGUUCGUGGAAUGAACAGGAUUGAACAACUUUUCAUAAGCAGAGUGUUUGAUGGUUUUGGGCCUCUGCCGACUGGAAAUCAGAAGAAUAUGGGGUGACGUCAUGAGACCUAUCGAAUUGUGAAAGGCCUUAUUAGAGUGGAUGUGGAGAGGAUGUUUCCCAUGGCGGUGAAAGUUCCGUCUGUCCGUAGCACUCCAGAAACAAUAAGUGUGCUGUUGUCCGCACUUAGUUCAAUCCUGCCGCCAGGAAUUAUCAUGCUAUUCUCCUCAAGCCACAGGUGUAGCCAUAUCAUUCAUCGCCUCAAGGACCCUUCUGCCGAUCUCGUUCAUGCUGACCAAGCUAUUUCGUUGAACUAUUCCCAUUUGCCUGCAACUGGACCAUGUAUAAACUGUUAUAUACUUCUGUUGUCUACAUGAUUUCUGAACAUUAUAUUUCCACGCAUCUCCAGCAUUCCCUUUGGCAGUUCCUAGCAUUUGCGGAACACAUUGUGCAUAAGGCUGUCCCUUUUACUUUACCUCACUAGCUAUGAAUCUAAGUUCUUUAUUUUAGACCACUGUAGCCUGCUAAAAUAGGUGAACAUCGAAAUUACUUGUGCCUUUCGUGAUUUUAGAAACUUCUGUAUGAUCAUGCCACGACCUGCCACGCUCGGAGAGUAAGGUCUCGGUCGAACCACCCUCCUAAGUUCAAGAGACUCCCAUUCCAGUUGGACGAUUGUGAAUCAUUUUCUGGACCGCUUGCGGCUUCAGGAUGAAGGACUUACAUUAUGAUCAUGAUGUUGAAGAUUAACCAUAUUGUCUCUCUGUUUUAAUCUGCGACGCCAUGGCGUUUUGAAAUUGCAUAUGUCAAAAACAAACCCGACAAAAAUGGCAAAUCAAUGGAGCUCGUGAAGGAGGAAGUAGGAAAUGAUUCACUUCAGGCAAGGGUCACUUGGCAAUGAGAAAGAUGAUGCAUAAUCACUGGCAAACACAGAACAGAAAUACUGACAACAGUUUCUAAUAUCAUCCAGAGAAUCUAUCGCUACUGAAAUGAUCCAAAGUUCAGUGUUAAUGUUAAUGUUUUGGAGCCAAUGGAAAUUGUUAUCACACGAGACGGAACAGAUAUAAUUUGGGAACAACAGGAAUUCUGCAGAUGCUGGAAAUUCAACCAACACACAUAAAAGUUGCUGGUGAACGCAGCAGGCCAGGCAGCAUCUCUA